rnacentral:rRNA from 1 species
AGAGUUUGAUCAUGGCUCAGGACGAACGCUGGCGGCGUGCCUAAUACAUGCAAGUCGAGCGGACAGAUGGGAGCUUGCUCCCUGAUGUUAGCGGCGGACGGGUGAGUAACACGUGGGUAACCUGCCUGUAAGACUGGGAUAACUCCGGGAAACCGGGGCUAAUACCGGAUGGUUGUUUGAACCGCAUGGUUCAAACAUAAAAGGUGGCUUCGGCUACCACUUACAGAUGGACCCGCGGCGCAUUAGCUAGUUGGUGAGGUAACGGCUCACCAAGGCAACGAUGCGUAGCCGACCUGAGAGGGUGAUCGGCCACACUGGGACUGAGACACGGCCCAGACUCCUACGGGAGGCAGCAGUAGGGAAUCUUCCGCAAUGGACGAAAGUCUGACGGAGCAACGCCGCGUGAGUGAUGAAGGUUUUCGGAUCGUAAAGCUCUGUUGUUAGGGAAGAACAAGUACCGUUCGAAUAGGGCGGUACCUUGACGGUACCUAACCAGAAAGCCACGGCUAACUACGUGCCAGCAGCCGCGGUA